GCUAGCAAGAAGCCAACCA
rnacentral:snRNA from 1 species